GCCUGAGCAGCCUUUCCUCCUUGCCCUGUUCCCCACCUCCCGGCUCCAGUCCAGGGAGCUCCCAGGGAAGUGGUCGACCCCUCCGGUGGCUGGGCCACUCUGCUAGAGUCCAUCCGCCAAGCUGGGGGCAUCGGCAAGGCCAAGCUGCGCAGCAUGAAGGAGCGAAAGCUGGAGAAGAAGAAGCAGAAGGAGCAGGAGCAAGUGAGAGCCACGAGCCAAGGCAUCUCUGGGAAAGGACCUGGGGCUGGUGAGGGGCCCGGAGGAGCCUUUGCCCGCGUGUCAGACUCCAUCCCUCCUGUGCCCCCACCGCAACAGCCACAGGCAGAGGAGGACGAGGACGACUGGGAAUCCUAGGGGGCUCCAUGACACCUUCCCCCCCAGACCCAGACUUGGGCUGUUGCUCUGACAUGGACACAGCCAGGACAAGCUGCUCAGACCUGCUUCCCUGGGAGGGGGUGACGGAACCAGCACUGUGUGGAGACCAGCUUCAAGGAGCGGAAGGCUGGCUUGAGGCCACACAGCUGGGGCGGGGAC
rnacentral:lncRNA from 1 species